AAACGAUACUGUAGAUACCUCUGUAGGCAC
rnacentral:misc_RNA from 1 species